rnacentral:rRNA from 1 species
GACGAACGCUGGCGGCGUGCCUAAUACAUGCAAGUCGAGCGCAGGAAGCUGACGGAACUCUUCGGAGAGAAGGCAGUGGAUGAGCGGCGGACGGGUGAGUAACACGUAAGGAACCUGCCUCAAGGAUUGGGAUAACUCCGAGAAAUCGGAGCUAAUACCGGAUAGUUCAACGGACCGCAUGGUCCGCUGAUGAAAGGCGCUUCGGCGUCACCUUGAGAUGGCCUUGCGGUGCAUUAGCUAGUUGGUGGGGUAACGGCCCACCAAGGCGACGAUGCAUAGCCGACCUGAGAGGGUGAUCGGCCACACUGGGACUGAGACACGGCCCAGACUCCUACGGGAGGCAGCAGUAGGGAAUCUUCCACAAUGGACGAAAGUCUGAUGGAGCAACGCCGCGUGAGUGAUGUAGGUUUUCGGAUCGUAAAACUCUGUUGUAAGGGAAGAACACGUACGAGAGGGAAUGCUCGUACCUUGACGGUACCUUACGAGAAAGCCACGGCUAACUACGUGCCAGCCGCCGCCGUAA